rfam:Triticum aestivum genome assembly, contig: Triticum_aestivum_CS42_TGACv1_scaffold_199548_3AL
AAUGUACUCCCUCCGUUCCAAAUUACUCGUCGCAGAAAUGGAUAUAUCUAAAACUAAAAUACAUCUAGAUACAUCCAUACCUGCGAGAAGUAAUUUGAAACGGAGGGAGUACGUG